rnacentral:rRNA from 1 species
CCCUUUGGGUGUGACUGCGUACCUUUUGUAUAAUGGGUCAGCGACUUAUAUUCUGUAGCAAGGUUAACCGAAUAGGGGAGCCGGAGGGAAACCGAGUCUUAAUUGGGCGUUAAGUUGCAGGGUAUAGACCCGAAACCCGGUGAUCUAGCCAUGGGCAGGUUGAAGGUUGGGUAACACUAACUGGAGGACCGAACCGACUAAUGUUGAAAAAUUAGCGGAUGACCUGUGGCUGGGGGUGAAAGGCCAAUCAAACCGGGAGAUAGCUGGUUCUCCCCGAAAGCUAUUUAGGUAGCGCCUCGUGAAUUCAUCUCCGGGGGUAGAGCACUGUUUCGGCUAGGGGGCCAUCCCGGCUUACCAACCCGAUGCAAACUGCGAAUACCGGAGAAUGUUAUCACGGGAGACACACGGCGGGUGCUAACGUCCGUCGUGAAGAGGGAAACAACCCAGACCGCCAGCUAAGGUCCCAAAGUCAUGGUUAAGUGGGAAACGAUGUGGGAAGGCCCAGACAGCCAGGAUGUUGGCUUAGAAGCAGCCAUCAUUUAAAGAAAGCGUAAUAGCUCACUGGUCGAGUCGGCCUGCGCGGAAGAUGUAACGGGGCUAAACCAUGCACCGAAGCUGCGGCAGCGACACUGUGUGUUGUUGGGUAGGGGAGCGUUCUGUAAGCCUGCGAAGGUGGCCUGUGAGGGUUGCUGGAGGUAUCAGAAGUGCGAAUGCUGACAUAAGUAACGAUAAAGCGGGUGAAAAGCCCGCUCGCCGGAAGACCAAGGGUUCCUGUCCAACGUUAAUCGGGGCAGGGUGAGUCGACCCCUAAGGCGAGGCCGAAAGGCGUAGUCGAUGGGAAACGGGUUAAUAUUCCCGUACUUGGUGUUACUGCGAAGGGGGGACGGAGAAGGCUAUGUUGGCCGGGCGACGGUUGUCCCGGUUUAAGCGUGUAGGUGUGUGUUCCAGGUAAAUCCGGUUCACUUUAACACUGAGGCGUGA